AGGGUGUAAACGCUGCAGACUUGGUGUUAGAGGCCCUUUGGGGGCAUUCAGUGCCGGAGAGAAGUUGUUAAGUCUGCUACUUGGGGAGUACGUCCGCAAGGAUGAAACUUAAAGGAAUUGGCGGGGGAGGCACCGCAACGGGAGGAGCGUGCGGUUUAAUUGGAUUCAACACCGUAAAACUCACCAGGGAAGACUGUUACAUGAAGGCCGAGAUGAAGACUCUGCUAGAUUUUCAGAGAGGUGGUGCAUGGCGUCAGUGACU
rnacentral:rRNA from 1 species